AUACGGAGGAUGCGAGCGUUAUCCGGAUUUAUUGGGUUUAAAGGGAGCGUAGGUGGGAUAUUAAGUCAGCUGUGAAAGUUUGGGGCUCAACCUUAAAAUUGCAGUUGAUACUGGUUUCCUUGAGUACGGUAUAGGUGGGCGGAAUUCGUGGUGUAGCGGUGAAAUGCUUAGAUAUCACGAAGAACUCCGAUCGCGAAGGCAGCUCACCGGGCCGGAACUGACACUGAUGCUCGAAAGUGCGGGUAUCAAACAGGAUUAGAUACCCUGGUAGUCCACACAGUAAACGAUGAAUACUCGCUGUUUGCGAUAUACAGUAAGCGGCCAAGCGAAAGCGUUAAGUAUUCCACCUGGGGAGUACGCCGGCAACGGUGAAACUUAAAGGAAUUGACGGGG
rnacentral:rRNA from 1 species